UGACCACUCUUUACCGAGUUAUGGCCAUACGGACAGCCGGGUCAGAUGCCGA
rnacentral:sRNA from 2 species